rnacentral:rRNA from 1 species
CCUACGGGUGGCAGCAGUGGGGAAUAUUGCACAAUGGGGGGAACCCUGAUGCAGCGACGCCGCGUGAGUGAAGAAGUAUUUCGGUAUGUAAAGCUCUAUCAGCAGGGAAGAAAAUGACGGUACCUGACUAAGAAGCCCCGGCUAACUACGUGCCAGCAGCCGCGGUAAUACGUAGGGGGCAAGCGUUAUCCGGAUUUACUGGGUGGAAAGGGAGCGUAGACGGUUAUGCAAGUCUGAAGUGAAAGCCCAGGGCUCAACCAUGGGACUGCUUUGGAAACUGGAAAACUGGAGUGCAGGAGAGGUAAGCGGAAUUCCUAGUGUAGCGGUGAAAUGCGUAGAUAUUAGGAGGAACACCAGUGGCGAAGGCGGCUUACUGGACUGUAACUGACGUUGAGGCUCGAAGGCGUGGGGAGCAAACAGGAUUAGAUACCCGUGUAGUC